rnacentral:rRNA from 1 species
GACGUAGGGGGCGAGCGUUGUCCGGAUUUAUUGGGCGUAAAGAGCGCGUAGGCGGCCCGGAAAGUCGGAUGUGAAAACCCGGGGCUCAACCCCGGGCCUGCAUCCGAUACUCCCGGGCUGGAGGCAGGUAGGGGAGAUCGGAAUUCCUGGUGUAGCGGUGAAAUGCGCAGAUAUCAGGGGGAACACCGGUGGCGAAGGCGGAUCUCUGGGCCUGUCCUGACGCUGAGGCGCGAAAGCUAGGGGAGCGAACAGG